rnacentral:rRNA from 1 species
UACUGCAAGUCGAGCGGACCGACGGGAGCUUGCUCCCUUAGGUCAGCGGCGGACGGGUGAGUAACACGUGGGUAACCUGCCUGUAAGACUGGGAUAACUCCGGGAAACCGGGGCUAAUACCGGAUGCUUGAUUGAACCGCAUGGUUCAAUCAUAAAAGGUGGCUUUUAGCUACCACUUACAGAUGGACCCGCGGCGCAUUAGCUAGUUGGUGAGGUAACGGCUCACCAAGGCGACGAUGCGUAGCCGACCUGAGAGGGUGAUCGGCCACACUGGGACUGAGACACGGCCCAGACUCCUACGGGAGGCAGCAGUAGGGAAUCUUCCGCAAUGGACGAAAGUCUGACGGAGCAACGCCGCGUGAGUGAUGAAGGUUUUCGGAUCGUAAAACUCUGUUGUUAGGGAAGAACAAGUACCGUUCGAAUAGGGCGGCACCUUGACGGUACCUAACCAGAAAGCCACGGCUAACUACGUGCCAGCAGCCGCGGUAAUACGUAGGUGGCAAGCGUUGUCCGGAAUUAUUGGGCGUAAAGCGCGCGCAGGCGGUUUCUUAAGUCUGAUGUGAAAGCCCCCGGCUCAACCGGGGAGGGUCAUUGGAAACUGGGGAACUUGAGUGCAGAAGAGGAGAGUGGAAUUCCACGUGUAGCGGUGAAAUGCGUAGAGAUGUGGAGGAACACCAGUGGCGAAGGCGACUCUCUGGUCUGUAACUGACGCUGAGGCGCGAAAGCGUGGGGAGCGAACAGGAUUAGAUACCCUGGUAGUCCACGCCGUAAACGAUGAGUGCUAAGUGUUAGAGGGUUUCCGCCCUUUAGUGCUGCAGCAAACGCAUUAAGCACUCCGCCUGGGGAGUACGGUCGCAAGACUGAAACUCAAAGGAAUUGACGGGGGCCCGCACAAGCGGUGGAGCAUGUGGUUUAAUUCGAAGCAACGCGAAGAACCUUACCAGGUCUUGACAUCCUCUGACAACCCUAGAAAUAGGGCUUCCCCUUC